rnacentral:misc_RNA from 1 species
AAGUCGUAACAAGGUUUCCGUAGGUGAACCUGCGGAAGGAUCAUUAUCAAGAACGUGCUAGCCUUGAUUGGCAGUGGUUAUGUUCAACCCUUUGUGAACCAAAAAAAACCUUUAGCUUCGGUAGCUGGGUUGCGGAAACGCUGCCUGUCAGUCUGCCGUUAGCACCUUUACAUAAACUUGCUUUAGAAAAUAUUGUCUGAAUCAAAAAUUUCGAAUGAAAUUAAAACUUUCAACAACGGAUCUCUUGGUUCUC